rnacentral:rRNA from 1 species
UAACGAAUCUUCCGCAAUGCACGAAAGUGUGACGGAGCGACGCCGCGUGUAGGAUGAAGUCCUUCGGGAUGUAAACUACUGUCAGGGGAAAGAAAGUUCUGAUCUACCCCAGAGGAAGAGGCGGCUAACUCUGUGCCAGCAGCCGCGGUAAUACAGAGGCCUCGAGCGUUAGGCGGAAUCACUGGGCUUAAAGCGUGUGUAGGUGGAUGCCUAAGUGCUUUGUGAAAUCCCACGGCUUAACCGUGGAAUUGCUUGGCACACUGGGUGUCUUGAGCCACUCAGGGGCUACCGGAACAAGCGGUGGAGCGGUGAAAUGCGUAGAUAUCGCUUGGAACGCCAAUGGUAAAAACAGGUAGCUGGGGGUGAGCUGACACUGAGACACGAAAGCCAGGGGAGCGAACGGGAUUAGAUACCCCGGUAGUCCUGGCCCUAAACGAUGUCCACUAGAUCGUAGCAGCUCUGACGUUGUUAUGGUCGAAGCAAAAGUGCUAAGUGGACCGCCUGGGAAGUACGGUCGCAAGGCUAA